UGUGUUGAAGAUUUUGCUAACUCUCAGUAGCAAGUUACUCUGUAAAAUCUAUUACUCUGUAAACCUCUGCAUCCUGCACUUGGAAGUAUGCAUUUUAUUUAAGAAUGUGAGUUAUAUUUUCAUCAGUGCAAGAAGGUGAUUGAAUUGAAGUUGAAUAUCCUGGUCUCUAUUUAUGAAUUAGUCUACUCUAAAAACCACCUUAGCCAUAUUUUGAAAGGACGCUAGAAAUAUUUCAAAACUAAAUAAAAGAAUUGAAAGUUAUCCUUUAGAGGCCUGAUCCUGCAAACCCUCUGCACAAUCAAUUGAUUUUGGUGGGAGUAUUGAAACAGAUGAGACACCAGAAGGUACUUUCCACCAUUAGAUCUUGAAAAGCUAAAGCGAGGUUUAUUUAGUAGUUGCAUACUUGAGUGAAUGUCCUGGGAGUAAGUGUGGAAGUAGAAUGUUCUCAUUUUAAAUGAUGUGCAUAUACUUUUCUUACACUUCUGCUCAUGGCUAUCCAUUCUUGCUAAAAGCAUACAAUCCCAUCAGAUCCUUCCUUGGAAGACUGAUUCUGCUAAGUCUAUUCAUACUGCCUCUGCUUUGUGGGUGCUUUCAUAAACAGAAGUUGGAAGUAUAUAGUUCUAUUUGCCAUGGUCCUAACAAACAAAGAAUCUGCAGACACUACUGGCUUCUCCUCUUUUACUGACAGCAGAGGACAUAUUCUACAGUGUAAUAUAUUCUAUUCUGGGUUUAUGUGCAAAAAAUUGAUUUAUAUGGAAGGUGAGCAGCCACAGGCUGGCAGGUUCCAGAAUGCCUUCGUCUGCUUAUUCCUAGUUGCUUGGUUUACUCUCUCUGCUUCACUGCUCUGUCUUUGGCAGCCACUGAAAAACCAGAGAUCAGGAAAGAUAAGCUUUCUAGGCUCUGCAGUUCAUUCAAAAUGCUGUUAUUCUAGACACCUAGAUAAUGUGGUCUGCAUAUAUCUAUGUGCCAUAUCCUUCUGUAAUAGUAAGAAUAUCCUUAUUAACCUCCAGAUAUUCUUUUGAAAAUUGAAAAAAAUCAACAGUUCUGUGCACUGUGCACUGAGAAAUGCAAGAACCACCUUUUAGCAUUUUGGAACAUUUUCUUCUGAGAUAAUUUCUUUUUCAAGACUUACAUUUAUUCAAUUACUUCUUUAUGUUAUUUAGGACUUCUUUUUAGCCUUUCAAGGAAGGGAAGGAAACAGAGAAAGACAAAACUGAAUUACUAGUGGAAUGAAUGAAUUUGGAUAUGUAUGUAAAACCACAAAUCAAGUGUCUUCACAUUAGACUCCUUCCUGUUUGAAGUUACAGAAAAGAUUGUGAGGCUUUAUUUAGCUAACCAACUUUUCCCAGGAAGAUCUAAAGUAAAACCUCUUAUUCUCUCUCUUCAAUUAAAAGUUGAUGGAUGACGUUUUCUGGCAUCGAGGGCAACAUUUUCAAGAUAGUUAAGAAUUUAUAAAAAUAUUGGUCUGCUUAAUUCAGUCUUUUCAGUUCUCCUGGCCUGAUGCCUAGCAUAUUGACAACUUCUUCUUUUACAGUGAUUCUUCCAAGAAUAAGCAUAUGAAAACUUGCAGCUGGUUUAUGCUGUGUCCAUUUCCAGCAGUAAUGUGGAACUGAAGUACACCACACACCACACAAUUUUAAUGUAACUUUCUAAUCAAGAAGUACGGUUAUAGAUUACAACACCUUGGGCACUUUGAUAACCUUUCUUCUCUUUCAGAUGCUAAUUUUCUCCUCCACCGAUUCUCACCUGUAUAUUGGUGUAUUGCAUGUGCCAAUAAAAAUGCUAAAAAUUACAGCAGGAAGAAUCAAAAAAGCCAGAACUGUCUUCACAGAGACAGCAAUGAGUAGUGAAGCUAAAAGAGGAGGAAGAAAUUAUUUCUUAUUGCUGUGCAAUUCUUAUCUGUCCCACUCCUCUUAUUCAAUUCUUCCUACCCACUACCCACAGCUAAUUCCAAAUCAUCCAAGUGGUGGUUUGCACAUUUAUCAGCUGGAACAGCAAUGACACAUGAACCUUUAGCUGAUAGGAAAUGAUAUUUCUGGAACUGGAAGCAUCAUGCCAAAUAGCUCAGAUAGAUAGAUAGAUAGCUAUGAUCUCGAACACUUUUGCAGCCCUAAUGUGUCUUGGAGUCUAUCACAGCUCACCUUACUUGAUCAUUUCAUGAAGGGAAGAAUGCUUGCCUCCUUUUUACACCAAAUUUCACCAUACACCUAGGAAAGUGGCUCUGCCCUGCCCAUGCUCCAAGCGACCAGGAGCAGCUCUGGAAAGACCUAGUUGCUGUACUGCUUUGUGGGCAGGAAGACUCCAUAUUUUAAGACAGAUUUCAUUAGCCUUACAAUCUGGAGGGUUGGUGUUACCUUCUAAGCUGUAAAACAAAGCGCCCACUACAGCUUAUAAAGGCUGUCCAUAACAGACUGUACUUUCCCCAUUGGCUGCUCUUACUGGGUUUCCAUAAAGCACUAAGAAAAGGCAAGCCAUACCCCAUAAUCUUAGCUGCCUACCCAAUUAGAUUACUUUUUUCAAGGGAUAUUAUUCUCGCUUACAGUGAAAUCUUUGUGCCUCUUACGUUAGUGCCUUUAGCAUUUCUUGAUAUCGAAGGAUAUAUUAUUCCCAGCCUGAGAGUUAGAAAGAGGGACAGUGACCUUGCUGGAGUUCUUCCUGAGCACUACAGUGAGUGACCAAUAUUCUAGAUGUCUUCAACUUAAACAUUGAGCAUUUACAUUGAGCAUUUGUCCAAUUUUUUUCUUUUUUUUUUUUUUAAGCAGUCUGUAGGUUUCUUAAUUCCUAAGUAGCAAAGAAACUGCAAUGGGAUUUCAGCAGUUUAGCAAAUUCUUCCUUCUUCACUUAGCAACUUCAUUCCACCAAGAGAUGCAGUGCAUAUACUUAAGGCUAAUGUUUACUUCAUCCAGGUCACUUCACAGAAGACUCUUUAAAACAGGCAAAAAACCAAACUAUGCAUUGGGAAUGCAUUUCCACAGCUGAAAGGUGAAGUUCUUUUUCCCUUACAGCCUUUUUUUUUUCCUGAGUUAAUUUUAGAAUCUUCCUCCCUCUCUCCCUUCACCUAUAAAAUUAGCAAGAAUGAAAUCACUCACGUACUGAAAACUUACAUUAAAACUUACACUUAAAUACUGAAAAAAGUAUAGUAUAAUCUUAUACUAUAUUUAUAUGCCUAAAAGCUUCUUAUGAUUCACCACAUUGUCUUCUUGAAGGGUUCCAGUAUGCGUGUGAAAAUCAAAGCCUUCCUUCAAGACUCAGUUGCCUUAAUAGUUUUAUCUUUUCCCCUGGGAUCCAUGGUCUGUCUGGAAAACAAACAGAGAAUCUACUUUCUUUAUUGUUUAGACCACUGUUUUAGAUGCUAAAAAAACCCCUAUAUUUUAUAACUAAAAGGAAAUGGUGUUUUAAUAGGAAAAAAAAUCAUCUCCAUUUGAAUUGCAUUGCUCUGACAAUAAUUUUUUUAUACGCCAUACCUGUGGUGUAUAACUUAAAGUGAUAUACUAUCCUAUAAACCUGUCUAGGACUAAGUCCUGAAUUAGGGAUAAAUAUUGCUCUAAUAAUCUAAUUUACCUAGCAGCUGUUUCUUUAAAUAACUUUGGAUUGUGACUGACUUCAGGCAGUUAGCUAGUGACCACUGAUAUUCCUCAAGGGAGAUACUGAAGAUCUGUGAUGAUGUAUUCCUACAAGUUUUACUUUCGUUUCUUUUUUCUCUUUUGUUGUGGGUCCUCAAGACAAUGUCUGUAUGCAUCUGGACUACUCAAGGGUUUUCCUAGAAUACAUGUGAAAUUAAAAAAUAAAAUUCAUCAUGAAGUUCA
rnacentral:lncRNA from 1 species